CUGCUCUCUCUCAUGACUUGUGCUGGUUCCCCAGCGCUUUACCACAGAUCGAAGCGCUAAUGGCUCCCCAGAGAUAUCCCAUCAGCCCCUUGGCACAAUGCACCGAGGGUUCAGCGUUUGAUACUGUGUUGCAGUGACUCUGGAAUUCCCAGCGGAGAGAGAUUCGCUGUCUAUCUCUGCCUGCCGCUCUCAGGUUAUAUGGAGAAGUCAUUCUGAAGCGGCGUGUUUAUCAAGCCAUUUGGGGAUCACCGACUGACAACAGGACGGACAGAUGGAUGUGGAUGUGAUGCUUUACAGAAUCGAGCGUCUCAAGGCAGAAUCGCUACUGAAAGGUGAAAGGUCACCAUCUAAAGAGAGAUGUUUGUCCUCAGGAGAUGCCACAGGCUGUUAAACGCUCUGUCGAGCAGCACACACACAGCUUGAGGGAAUUAUGGGAAAGGUUACUCUAUGAGGGAUGGCGUUGGUUUUUUGCAGACGUGGCAUGUUAGGGUGCUUGUGAAUGGAGGUCCGGGCUGGGAAUGAUUUGAGAGUAAGCACAGACAGGUGUCAGCGUACUCUCAAGCUCCCUCUGCUGGCCCCCCGGGGACCGGAGCCAUAAUUACAUGCACACAAACACUCAGAAGGGCUUUCAGAUGCACACACACACAUGCAAACACUCUCACAUACACAAACACACAUGGUUUCCUGAGCUUCACCUGCCCUCUAGUGGAGCACAAACUAUCUGCAUCACUUCUAGUUCACAAUAAAGUGAAUUGUCAAGUUAGUGAGGCUUUACAUUGUUUAGGUUUUACUCCAAAAUGUAAAAGAUUUUUAAUUGAUUGCAAAAUUGCAUUGCUCAUUUGUUGAUCUUUCAAAGCUCAGAAGAAUUGAAGUUGUCUUCCUGA